AGUUUAAAUACAAUUAAAAAAAAAGUAGCCAUUUCUUCAAUGAGACAUGGGCUCAUUGUCGCCUCGCCUCUCGCCUUCCUCAUCGAAGACUGGCCGGGCGGUGUUAAGAGUGGUGCCUCGCCUCGCUUGGCACUUUGACUCGGCGCUUCAGACGGCUUUAAUAACACUGGUUGUGUUUAUAACAUAUCAAUAAUAGUCUUCACAAAUACCAGGUUUCUUCUAUUCUUUUCUCUU
rnacentral:misc_RNA from 1 species